rnacentral:miRNA from 1 species
UUUUGCAAAUUUCAGAUUCAUU